rnacentral:rRNA from 1 species
AUACGGAGGGUGCAAGCGUUACUCGGAAUCACUGGGCGUAAAGCGCGCGCAGGCGGCCAUUUAAGUUGGAUGUGAAAGCCUACGGCUCAACCGUAGAACUGCAUCCAAAACUAUUUGGCUAGAGUGUGGGAGAGGAAGAUGGAAUUAGUUGUGCAGGGGUAAAAUCCGUAGAGAUAACUAGGAAUACCAAAAGCGAAGGCAAUCUUCUGGAACAUUACUGACGCUGAGGCGCGAAAGCGUGGGGAGCAAACAGGAUUAGAAACCCCAGUAGUCC